rnacentral:rRNA from 1 species
AUUGAACGCUGGCGGCAGGCCUAACACAUGCAAGUCGAACGAGUGGCGGACGGGUGAGUAAUGUCUGGGAAACUGCCUGAUGGAGGGGGAUCACUACUGGAAACGGUAGCUAAUACCGCAUACCAUCGGAUGUGCCCAGAUGGGUUUAGCUAGUAGGUGGGGUAAAGGCUCACCUAGGCAACGAACCCUAGCUGGUCUGAGAGGAUGCCCAGCAACACUGUAACUGAGAAACGGUCCAGACUCCUCCGGGAGGCAGCAGUGGGGAAUAUUGCACAAUGAGCGCAAGCCUGAGGCAGCCAUGCCGAGUGUAUGAAGAAGGCCUUCGGGUUGUAAAGUACUUUCAGCAGGGAGGCGUUACCCGCAGAAGAAGCACAGGCUAACUCCGUGCCAGCCGCCGCGGUAAUUC